rnacentral:miRNA from 1 species
UCUCCUCUCGAUCCUGGCACU